UACAGAGGGUGCAAGCGUUAAUCGGAAUUACUGGGCGUAAAGCGCACGUAGGUGGUUGUUUAAGUCAGAUGUGAAAGCCCCGGGCUUAACCUGGGAAUGUCAUUUGAUACUGGACAGCUCGAGUAUAGGAGAGGGAAGUGGAAUUUCCGGUGUAGCGGUGAAAUGCGUAGAUAUCGGAAGGAACACCAGUGGCGAAGGCGACUUCCUGGCCAAAUACUGACACUGAGGUGCGAAAGCGUGGGGAGCAAACAGG
rnacentral:rRNA from 1 species